GCAAGUCGAACGAACUUCCGUUAAUUGAUUAUGACGUACUUGUACUGAUUGAGAUUUUAACACGAAGUGAGUGGCGAACGGGUGAGUAACACGUGGGUAACGCUGCCCAGAAGUAGGGGAUAACACCUGGAAACAGAUGCUAAUACCGUAUAACAGAGAAAACCGCAUGGUUUUCUUUUAAAAGAUGGCUCUGCUAUCACUUCUGGAUGGACCCGCGGCGUAUUAGCUAGUUGGUGAGGCAAAGGCUCACCAAGGCAGUGAUACGUAGCCGACCUGAGAGGGUAAUCGGCCACAUUGGGACUGAGACACGGCCCAGACUCCUACGGGAGGCAGCAGUAGGGAAUCUUCCACAAUGGACGCAAGUCUGAUGGAGCAACGCCGCGUGAGUGAAGAAGGGUUUCGGCUCGUAAAGCUCUGUUGUUAAAGAAGAACGUGGGUAAGAGUAACUGUUUACCCCAGUGACGGUAUUUAACCAGAAAGCCACGGCUAACUACGUGCCAGCAGCCGCGGUAAUACGUAGGUGGCAAGCGUUAUCCGGAUUUAUUGGGCGUAAAGCGAGCGCAGGCGGUCUUUUAAGUCUAAUGUGAAAGCCUUCGGCUCAACCGAAGAAGUGCAUUGGAAACUGGGAGACUUGAGUGCAGAAGAGGACAGUGGAACUCCAUGUGUAGCGGUGAAAUGCGUAGAUAUAUGGAAGAACACCAGUGGCGAAGGCGGCUGUCUGGUCUGCAACUGACGCUGAGGCUCGAAAGCAUGGGUAGCGAACAGGAUUAGAUACCCUGGUAGUCCAUGCCGUAAACGAUGAUUACUAAGUGUUGGAGGGUUUCCGCCCUUCAGUGCUGCAGCUAACGCAUUAAGUAAUCCGCCUGGGGAGUACGACCGCAAGGUUGAAACUCAAAAGAAUUGACGGGGGCCCGCACAAGCGGUGGAGCAUGUGGUUUAAUUCGAAGCUACGCGAAGAACCUUACCAGGUCUUGACAUCUUCUGACAGUCUAAGAGAUUAGAGGUUCCCUUCGGGGACAGAAUGACAGGUGGUGCAUGGUUGUCGUCAGCUCGUGUCGUGAGAUGUUGGGUUAAGUCCCGCAACGAGCGCAACCCUUAUUACUAGUUGCCAGCAUUAAGUUGGGCACUCUAGUGAGACUGCCGGUGACAAACCGGAGGAAGGUGGGGACGACGUCAAAUCAUCAUGCCCCUUAUGACCUGGGCUACACACGUGCUACAAUGGAUGGUACAACGAGUCGCGAAACCGCGAGGUUAAGCUAAUCUCUUAAAACCAUUCUCAGUUCGGACUGUAGGCUGCAACUCGCCUACACGAAGUCGGAAUCGCUAGUAAUCGCGGAUCAGCAUGCCGCGGUGAAUACGUUCCCGGGCCUUGUACACACCGCCCGUCACACCAUGAGAGUUUGUAACACCCAAAGCCGGUGG
rnacentral:rRNA from 1 species